UGGUGAGGUAAUGGCUCACCAAGGCGACGAUCCCUAGCUGGUCUGAGAGGAUGAUCAGCCACACUGGAACUGAGACACGGUCCAGACUCCUACGGGAGGCAGCAGUGGGGAAUAUUGCACAAUGGGCGCAAGCCUGAUGCAGCCAUGCCGCGUGUAUGAAGAAGGCCUUCGGGUUGUAAAGUACUUUCAGCAGUGAGGAAGGGGGUGUCGUUAAUAGCGGCAUCUCUUGACGUUAGCUGCAGAAGAAGCACCGGCUAACUCCGUGCCAGCAGCCGCGGUAAUACGGAGGGUGCGAGCGUUAAUCGGAAUUACUGGGCGUAAAGCGCAUGCAGGUGGUUUGUUAAGUCAGAUGUGAAAGCCCGGGGCUCAACCUCGGAACUGCAUUUGAAACUGGCAAACUAGAGUACUGUAGAGGGGGGUAGAAUUUCAGGUGUAGCGGUGAAAUGCGUAGAGAUCUGAAGGAAUACCAGUGGCGAAGGCGGCCCCCUGGACAGAUACUGACACUCAGAUGCGAAAGCGUGGGGAGCAAACAGGAUUAGAUACCCUGGUAGUCCACGCCGUAAACGAUGUCUACUUGGAGGUUGUGGCCUUGAGCCGUGGCUUUCGGAGCUAACGCGUUAAGUAGACCGCCUGGGGAGUACGGUCGCAAGAUUAAAACUCAAAUGAAUUGACGGGGGCCCGCACAAGCGGUGGAGCAUGUGGUUUAAUUCGAUGCAACGCGAAGAGCCUUACCUACUCUUGACAUCCAGAGAACUUUCCAGAGAUGGAUUGGUGCCUUCGGGAACUCUGAGACAGGUGCUGCAUGGCUGUCGUCAGCUCGUGUUGUGAAAUGUUGGGUUAAGUCCCGCAACGAGCGCAACCCUUAUCCUUGUUUGCCAGCGAGUAAUGUCGGGAACUCCAGGGAGACUGCCGGUGAUAAACCGGAGGAAGGUGGGGACGACGUCAAGUCAUCAUGGCCCUUACGAGUAGGGCUACACACGUGCUACAAUGGCGCAUACAGAGGGCGGCCAACUCGCGAGAGUGAGCGAAUCCCAAAAAGUGCGUCGUAGUCCGGAUUGGAGUCUGCAACUCGACUCCAUGAAGUCGGAAUCGCUAGUAAUCGUAGAUCAGAAUGCUACGGUGAAUACGUUCCCGGGCCUUGUACACACCGCCCGUCACACCAUGGGAGUGGGCUGCAAAAGAAGUGGGUAGUUUAACCUUCGGGAGGACGCUCACCACUUUGUGGUUCAUGACUGGGGUG
rnacentral:rRNA from 1 species